GUUUGUUGCUCAACUCUGCAACUUUAUUUUCUUCAAGAACGAGCAGCAAGAUCUUCAAUGAAUGGUGCGUACUAUAUCUAGAAUAAUUACAUUUAUAGGGUCUCUUUGAGUUUUAUGAUUUACCUACGUCUGGAAAUGAAUCUAGAUAGGUCGUUUACUAGUGUGGUCAAAGAAGGGUCAAAGGCAUGCUGACGUGUUGACAAGCAAGGGGGGCGAUUUAGGCUCUUCUAACACUGAGGGGCCCGACAACAUGUCUUACUACAGUGGAAUCCUGUUAUAACGAGAGGGUGGGGACCGGUGCAAAAGAGGACUCCCUCUACGUUGGGGCUUGUUUGUAAAACGUAUCGAUGGCCCUACACCCAAAUCAUUGUCAGGAACUACAUGGUCUGCCCGACAUGAUGCAACAGUAGCAUUAAAAUCAAACUACAAAAAGAUUAUGUUAUCAUUACUGCUUGACAUCUCCCGUGACAUGAAAGAAUCUCCCCAAACGCGUGAUGAGACGUCAUCCUUGCACAACAAGAUGGAAAAUUUUGAAUUUGCUGUGCAGUGUGUGUUUUGGGAACAAAUUCUGGCACGCUUUGACACUGCCUACAAAACACUUCAGAAACCAUCACUCAACCUGGGAGUCGUACAUAUGUUGUACGAUUCUCUAACUGCUUUCUUAACUGGACUUCGGGACGAUUUCGAGCGAAUCGAACAAUCAGCCACACCUUUCGUCGAAGAGCCUUCUUACCAAUACCAGAGAGUAUUUAAUUAUAUUUUAGUGUCUCUGCCAAUACAAACGCAUUGCAAAACGCAAGCGCUUCCACGACGAAACGAAAGAUGUUGAAGCUGUUUUGUCGCACCGGGAGCAGUUUAGAAUAAACACCUUCGUUGUCAUCGUUGACUGCUUUUUGUCUGAACUUGAAAAGCAAGGAGACAUCUACAAGACUCUGGCUCAAGAUUUUGACAUUCUCUUUUAUCUUCACAAGAAGCCUGCCACGAGCACUCGAGACAUCUCGCAUUCAGCAGCAAUAUGGAGAACGACCUAGAGCCAUCAUUUCCUGACGAACUAGUGACGUAUUCAGGAUAUCUCAACUCAGCAUUUCAGUCUGAGGAUACACUUUCUCCUCCCCGGCUCCUUCAAGAUCUGUGCGAAAGUGGUACAACAACAGCUUUCCCAAAUGUAGAGAUCGCACUAAGGCUCUUUCUCACCAUGCCUAUCGCCAACGUAGAGGGUGAAAGAUUCUUCUCCGUACUGAAACGAGUGAAAAGUAGACUGCGUUCAACGAUGGGACAAGAGAAACUAAGCGGCCUAGCUCUCUUGACAAUUGAAUCUGAAACGACAAAAUCUCUAGACUUUGAGGACAUCAUCGAGGCAUUUGUCCACCAAAAAGCCAGGAAAAAAAUAUAAGCACGUCAAAAUGAUAAUAACAGACAUCAAAUAAGGAAAGAUGGAAAAACAGUGGAACUUGGAUUCAAGGAGAUGAAAACAGGUGACACAACAGGACUGACCAGAAAAGAGGAGACGAGGAGAAAAGAAAAUCUUUCGACCUUGUCAGGCUUUGAACCUGAGACCUAUUGAAUGAGAAGCGAACACCGUACCUCUGGACUACAAGAGCCACCCUAAAAUGUAUGUAAUGAGCUGUAAUAUUUUUGCUAACCACAGGAUAAAAAUCCACACUGGAAAAAC